UGGUGUAUAAAGAUGCGACAACAAAGGUUAAAACCAUAAACAAAGGAGGAUAACUCCAACUCAAAUUUAUGAUUUGUCUAGCUAAAUACAAUUCAGUGUUAUUAUUUAUUCAUUUAUGAAGACAAAUUGUUGACCGCACGAUGUCUUCUGGUUUAUGUGACGUUUCAUCAUGUGCCCUUUCGCUUCAAUAAUAGUAGCAUGGAACUUGGACUAAACUGUUUGAGUCCUCCUGUUUUCAAAAAAAAUAAAUUAAUUGUUUUCAAUGUUUUGGUUUGGCACAAUCCUGAUGGGAAUAAUUUCUAGAAAAUGCUUCGGACGCACUGAAUAAUAAACAAGAUUUGAUCGAUAUCACUGAUGCAUGCUGAACUCUGACAUAUCGAGAACAUUAGAUCGGAAGUGGAUGCUUUCAUAACAUACUUUUAUAUUUGUCUGAUUUGUAGGUU
rnacentral:lncRNA from 1 species